rnacentral:rRNA from 1 species
AAGCGGUGGAGCAUGUGGUUUAAUUCGACGCAACGCGAAGAACCUUACCAGGGCUCGACAUCCCCUGACCGCGUAUGAAAGUACGUUUUCACCUCGGGUGACAGGGAGACAGGUGGUGCAUGGUUGUCGUCAGCUCGUGUCGUGAGAUGUUGGGUUAAGUCCCGCAACGAGCGCAACCCUCGACCUUAGUUGCCAGCAUUCAGUUGGGCACUCUAAGGUGACUGCCGGCUAAAAGUCGGAGGAAGGUGGGGAUGACGUCAAAUCAUCAUGCCCCUUAUGACCUGGGCUACACACGUGCUACAAUGGGCGGUACAAAGGGUCGCGAACCCGCGAGGGGGAGCCAAUCCCAAAAAGCCGCUCUCAGUUCGGAUUGCAGGCUGCAACUCGCCUGCAUGAAGCCGGAAUCGCUAGUAAUCGCGGAUCAGCAUGCCGCGGUGAAUACGUUCCCGGGCCUU